rnacentral:SRP_RNA from 1 species
GCCAGGCAUGAUGGCUCAUGCCUGUAAUCCCAACACUUUGGGAGGCUGAGGUGGGUGGAUCACCUGAGGUCAGGAGUUCAAGACCAGCCUGACCAACAUGGUGAAACCCCAUCUCUA